rnacentral:rRNA from 1 species
CCUACGGGUGGCAGCAGUGGGGAAUAUUGGACAAUGGGGGGAACCCUGAUCCAGCCAUGUCGCGUGUGUGAAGAAGGCCCUCGGGUUGUAAAGCACUUUCAGUGAGGAAGAACGCCUGGUGGUUAAUACCCAUCAGGAAAGACAUCACUCACAGAAGAAGCACCGGCUAACUCCGUGCCAGCAGCCGCGGUAAUACGGAGGGUGCGAGCGUUAAUCGGAAUUACUGGGCGUAAAGCGCGCGUAGGUGGCUUGAUAAGCCGGUUGUGAAAGCCCCGGGCUCAACCUGGGAACGGCAUCCGGAACUGUCAAGCUAGAGUGCAGGAGAGGAAGGUAGAAUUCCCGGUGUAGCGGUGAAAUGCGUAGAGAUCGGGAGGAAUACCAGUGGCGAAGGCGGCCUUCUGGACUGACACUGACACUGAGGUGCGAAAGCGUGGGUAGCAAACAGGAUUAGAUACCCCUGUAGUC